GUUAUCCUCAGGAAGCCCUGAGCGCUGAGAGGCACUGUUACAGAACCGAACUGGGGUCCACUCGCUAGGCCUACCUAGGUGCCUGGAAUUUCCCUUCGAGGAACGCAGGAGUUUUCUUUAUUUUCAUGCUUGGGAAGGCUCAUUAGGCCCCUAAGAGAGGGUCCCUUCCCCAUCUCAGGACUAAAAUGCAAUGAAGAUGUUGCUCAGAGGCAGCUGGAGAGGGAUGGGUCUGUGGAGGAUGCCCCGCAGAGUGAAGUCGAGAUGAUGCAGCCACCAGGGCCGGAGGGGAGGGACAUUCCACUUUUUAAAUCAGCUUUCUGAAGCAUGAUCUCCAUAUAAUCACCUAGAAGCGUACAGCACAAUGAUCUUGACAGAUGCCAGCAUCCUUGGAACCACUGCCACCACCAACGUCUCAAACCAUUCCAUCAAACCCAGAACACUCCUGGUGCCCUGAAGCGUCUCCCUUCAGUGGCAGAACCAGCAGAGAUUCAGUGGUCACAAGGCUGGUCUGGAACUCCUGGGUGCAAGCGAUCCUUCCACCUCGGCCUCCCAAAGUGCUGGGAUUAGAGGCAUAAGCCACCGCGCCCAGCCAGGAAUGGAUUUUCUCACAGUUCUCGAUGGCGGAAGUCUGAGAUCAAGGUCUUGGCAGGGCUAGGUCUCUCUGAGGCCUUUCUCCCCAGCUUAUAGGUCGCCGCCUCCUCUCUCUGUCUUUCCUUGUCUUCCUUGUGUCCACAGUUGUGUCCAAAUUCCCCUUUCUCAUAAGGACGUCAGUCAUGUUGGAUUAGGGCCCUCCCUCCUGACCUUGUUUUAGCUUAAUCUCUGCAACUUAACCCUUAACCUCAGUAAAGAUCCUAUUUCCAAAUGUGUUCACAUUCUGAGGUCCUGAGGAUUAGGACUUUGAAAGGAUUAAAACAGGCUCUUCUGGCAUAUUGACAAUUUCAGCUAAAGACUCUUGAGAAACAGCAGGUGCAAAAAGAUCACAGUGACCUCCAUGCUGUACCUUGAGAUGAAAUUCCAAUGCGAAAGAUGCCCUCUCCACCCUAGAAGGGAAAGCAACAUCCUUAUCUUUGGGAGUGAAAAGUCCAAACUGAGAGCAUACUUGCCUUUCUCUGGAGGGGCUCUGCCAGCAUGAAUUCCUUUACGGGUGGAAGCCUCACAGUCCAGUCUACCAGUGAGGUCCACAUGGGAUUGGCUGGAGGGAGCUACGAAGUCAAGCGGCGUCAGACUGCAGUCUCCAGCCUCACCCCCUGGGCCACCCACCCUCCC
rnacentral:lncRNA from 1 species